UUUCGUCUGGGUUUUUUUCGUCUCAGCUUCCAACACCCGCCACCUUGCACUGGUUUAUUUUCGUCUCACCUCUCACCACUCCUCCUUCCAUUUUUAUCUUCGGUUACUAAACCCGCCAACUGAUUUUUCUUCCUAUCCCACCGAUCUUCUCUCAUUGUUUUCAUUCUGUUCCGGAUCUCCGUCCCCCAAUCCUUUCCAAUCACUCUCAAGUCAGAAUUUUCUUCCAAAUCUGACCAUGCCUAUCUUGUUUCCAUUCCAUUUCCGAUCUCCUUCCCUCAAUUUUUUCCAAUCAUUUCCAAUUCAGUUUUUUCUUCCAAAUCUGAUCACACCCGAUCUAGAUCUCGAGGGUUGCCUCCCGUUCAUCCCAGCACGUCCCUUGUACCAGCCAUGGAAGAGAGGAGGGAGAGAAGAUGGGAGCAUAGUGGCCUCUCUUGGCCCUGGCGGGAAGGCAUUGGGAGGAGCCCGGGAAUGGGCGGUAUGGCGAAGGUCGUGGCCAUCAUGGUCGCGGCAGUCGUGCUCAUGGCGUGCGUGUUCCCGGCCAUCUGGAAGUACCGACGGUAGGCCAGCACCGUUGCACGCACACGGACACAGUCACUCGAGUCAUCCACGGCUGCGCCGCAGGCCAACGGCUCCGCGAGCCUUGAUCCAGUAUCUCUGUCUUAGUGGUCUCCGAGAGCGUCUCCGACUGGGGCAACAACCUGCUGCCGGCGGGGAAGCAAGUCGCCUUCUGGGGCGGGCGGGGCAACAAUGGCAGGGACCAGCCCCUGUCCGUCUUUGGGAUCCCGAAGUACCAUUACAAGGAUCUGCAGAAGGCUACCAAAAACUUCACAACGAUUCUGGGCCAUGGAUCAUUUGGUCUUGUGUACAAGGCUGUAAUGGCUACUGGUGAAGUCAUGGCUGAAAAGGUUCUUGCGACACCGCUGCUACUUGGUGCCCGCCGCACCCAAGGCAUCGGUUGCCGUCCCUGUUCUCCCGGUGGCCCUCUCGUCAUGCGUUCACUUGGUCGAGAGUUUGUCACAGCCGCUGAGGAAGAGUUGCAGAGUGGCUCCCAGGAAAAUUACUCAAAUUUAUCCAAUGGGUAAUGACAAAGUAAGAAUGGCGGGUCCACUGCUAGCCAGCUCCGAAUAUGGAGACAAAUCAUGAUUCUUUUCUCGAUAACCAUCAACAGAACUCCAAAUUCUUGAUAUUGAAAUGAAAAGUGAGCCGACAUCUAUGCCAUGUUAAGCUUUGAGUUCAGCUACUUCUUAUGUGUUUCCCAAAGCAAAGCUGAUGUUUAUGUUUCAGUUUUUUCCGUAACCAUUUAUCUUUUUAGUUGUUCAGUCGUCCCAUAAUAUAUUUGUAUUACUACCCUUUAUCAAUACUCCAUGUGUUCAUUCCAAAGCAAAGUUGUCCAGCCAAGCUACCUGCUUUUCUGUUCUUAACAUUUUCACUUAAUUUUUGUCACUCUUGUCUUGUUGAUAUGGUAUGGUGCUAAAUACUUGAGAAAUAUCUUGCAUGAUAUUCUUCUCUUCCUACGUGCAUUUAUUUAUCAGAUUGAAGGAAAGGUAGAUUUAAUUUCAGUAUACUCUAUGCCAAGAGACACUCUAAUUUUGCUUUCUUACACAUAUUACUGCAUGACCAUAGCAGACCAUUGCAAUGCGGCAACCCAAAUUUCAAUUCAACGGUGUUCUGUGCGCAUCAUAGGAGCAAACCGACUGCAUCAACGCAGUCAUGCUUCCCUUGACACCAACAUCACAACCUUAAGGAGGACCAGUAUUGAAGCAUGCAAAGCCGGGGGAGAGAUGGUACGACAGAGGGGAGUAGCCACAUGAACGUGGGGUAUGGAAUGACUAAGGACAUGGUCACAUGCUUCUCUCUCCCCUCUCUCCAUAGCCGACGUGUGGAGCGAACAAUACGUGGCCCCUCCUUCACCCAGUUCAAGCAAGAUGCACCGUCGUUGUACUCUUUCAACUCUCCAUCCCUCCCUCCCUCCUCUGUAUUUCACACCAACGGCACUGGUAACAUAUAGAGUGGAAGAAUAUAUUGACGGGAGAAACAAAUCCUCAUAUGCGCUUAGCAACUUAUUCUAUUAUGUUAU